GACAAUAAAUACUUUAUGAUCUGAUCUCAAAUCAGGUAGGACUACCC
rnacentral:rRNA from 2 species